CUAUACAUGACUCUGCGCAUAUCAAUAAGCGGAGGAAAAGAAACUAACAAGGAUUCCCUCAGUAACGGCGAGUGAAGCGGGAAGAGCUCAAAUUUGAAAUCUUGAAAGGUCACCUUUCACGAAUUGUAGUUUAAAGAAGUGUUUUCUGUUACGAUCGUAAUAUAAGUUCUUUGGAAUAGGACAUCACAGAGGGUGAGAAUCCCGUCUAUGAUUGCGAUUUGUAGCUUUGUGAUACACUUUCAAAGAGUCGGGUUGUUUGGGAAUGCAGCCCAAAACGGGAGGUAAAUUUCUUCUAAGGCUAAAUAUUGGCGAGAGGCCGAUAGCGAACAAGUACCGUGAGGGAAAGAUGAAAAGAACUUUGAAAAGAGAGUUAAAUAGUACGUGAAAUUGUCAAAAGGGAAGCGUUUAACACCAGUGUUGUUUUCUGAAAAUCAACCUCUGUUAGCUUUAUGCAUGUUUGUUUAGACCUAAUCAGCUAUCUUUCAUGUUCUAUUGUUUGCAGUGGUGCACUUUUCAGUUUACAGGUCAACAUCAGUUUUUUUUACCGUAAAAAAGUUAAAGAAAGGUAGCUCAUGGCUCCGGUCGUGAGUGUUAUAGUCUUUUUCCUAUGCGGUAGGAGAGACUGAGGUCUGCAGUGUAGGCUAUUUGGCUAGAUACUCAGGUGCUAUGUGAUACCAUUUCAUAAACGACUUGUUGAUUAUGUUUUGUCUAUUGCAUACUCGCUUGUACUAUCAUACCUACGCUUAGGAUGUUGAGUCGUAGAGCACGCAG
rnacentral:rRNA from 1 species